CUCUGCAUUCCAGGGGCUCAACGUUACAGGUACCUCGCUCCGACGCAGCCAAACGUCCGAUUCCUCAUCGGGAAGAAUUCUGUCGAAAAACCACGAAAAUAGUGCUUCCUGCCCCUCCUCCGUGGCGUCCCCCGUACUACCCCCAGUCCAGGACUCCGGGUGUGUCUCCGCCCCUUCCUGUCCCAGUCCUGCGUCGUCCCCACUGCUGGACUUCCUGUGAUGGCGGGACGGAGGACGCCGCCUGAUGGAGCCCCGUGGUCUGGCCUGGAGACAGACCAAUCACAGGACAGGUCAGCAGUGACGUCAUUAGUGACGUAACAGAGGUAAUGCUCACCUGAUUCCCCACGGUGCUGCUCGGGUCGGGAGCCUGACCUUUGAACCUUCCUGCCAGUUCGGCCACGGAGCGGCGGGGCGUAGCCUCAUUCUGCAGAUCCUGAUGCUGUUCAUGACCCAGACGGACUCACAGUGACUCCAUGAAGGCAUCAUGGUCCAGUCCAGUCCUGGUUCGCCACCUCCACCGCCGUGGAGGUUCCGUCUUACGAAGUGGGAACAGAAAAAGUGGGCGUGGUUUAUCAGAUUUAAGUCUCGUGUUUAUGAAACGUUGACCUGCAGUAGCGUAUCGUCUGCUGUUGUUUGAGCAUCGUGUGGUUUAAUUUUACAUAGAAAGGUUAUAAUUCAACCUUUUAACAUCUCUGACCUCUGUUCUCUCUAGAGGGUGCUGAUAACGAAGCAGAAAGUCACCACUGAGCAUGUGCAUCAGCUAACAUCUGGGCCCUGUUCACGUCUGAAACAGAUGGUGGUGGAGGCAAAGAAAAGAGCCGAUAAAAGUCUGUUUGGUCUGAACGGUUCGUGUUUCUGCUUGACACGUUGCAGGUUUGUGUUUGUCAACCAGAUGGUUGAUCAAUGCAGAGCAACAGAGGACCAAGGACGAAGCCCUGAGGUACUCCAGAACUGACGAGCUGAAACUACAGAGGAAAGUUACCAGACGCACGUUUGACCCGUUUUAAAGACGCAUCAAGCAAAUUUAGAAAAUUAUGAGAAGUUUUGUGAUGUUUCUGCCCAGAUUUCCGUCUCCGCUGCCUGACUGAAGGUGAUAAAAGUGUCACAUAAUCUGACGACACCGUAGAAUCCACGGCUGUAAUGUCGACGAAACCUGAUGCACACUUUGGUUUCCUGUUAGCGCCCGCUCGCUCUUCACCACCCAGUCUACCCUGCAGGUCCUGAAAACGAACAGAGUCGUUUUGGGGACUCUGUUCGUCUGAUUCAUGAGACGCUGCUGGGAUUUCUGGGCCAUUUCCACGAACGCCCAGCAGAACACAGCAAACCCAGCAGCAACAGCAGCAGCAACAGAAAGUUUGAGAGCUUUACCUCCAUCCUGCUGGUCGUCUCUCAGCCGCCUCAAUAUGUCGCACCAUCCUCUGUUGACCUGAGACGGUUUUGAGUUCUGAACCACUUGGGCCUGUCUGGUACCAACAAUCAUCUCUCUGCUGUGAUGCUCCGCGCGAACUGAUAAAGAGGAAGCUGCUGAUGCUGCUCUGCAAGAGGAAGUCACUCCCUCUUCAGCUCUUGGUUCUCUCUUUUACUGUCACCAUGGCCGUCUGAACCCAGCUGGAGGUUCUGUUGGGUCUCAGAGUGGAACCCUGAGGAAGGAGCAUGGUUCUGCUCGCUCCACACAUGAACUGCCUGGACCAAUCAGACGAGGCGGUUUCGCGGCGCAGCAGGAAGACAGGAAGUGGUUGGAGGGGUGGAGUUAGCAGACAGGAAGAGACGAUGUUGAUGAUGAUGAUAGAGGAAACCUUAUAAGGUGAAAACUAGUCGCUCCCAGAAACAGGAUGGAGAUGUUGCUCAACUGCAGCAGCUGACUGACAGAACCCGUCCAGAACCUCCAGAACACCUUCGUUCUACCAGGAGCCGAAAACAUCUACAGAAACAGGCUGCAGAUGAAUCACCAUGGUUACACGUAGAAACAGACUGGAGGUUGGAUGAGUCGGUUUCUUCUGCCUGAAGUUAUUUAGACUGAGAAACUGAGAGGGUGGAUAGAGAGAUGGAGCAAUGGAGGAGUAAUUUCUGCUCACUAUAAACGUCAUACUGAACUGAAUCUGUACCUGUCAGUCACUGACUCAGUACUGUAUGGACGGAUGACAUGAUGUUCCUCAGGUGGCCACUAGUGGCGCUGUCUCAGGAUCAGGAGAAUCUUUUGAGGUUAAAGAUCAAAUUUGAAACAUUUCUUUCUCAAUAAAAUGUUUUUCUUUUCAUGGACGGGUUAAACUUUCACUUCUUCAUUCUGUAACUCCAGAAAAGAAUCCCUGUUCCCAUCUCUGGCUCCAGAACCUGCUGGCUUAACUCCCAGUCCAGAUACUGGUCUCUGCUGGUUUCUGCAGUGCUCAGUGUGUGGCUCAGUGCUGCCACCUGCUGGCAGCGGAAGCUCAGUCCUGAGGAGGAGGAGGAGAAGGUCUUCAUCACCUUCUCUCACCAUAAUGUGUUCAAUCUGUUUAAACUGGGAUUAAUGGCUCAGAGACGCGUUUAGUGAAUAAAAGUUUAAUCUAUAUCCAUCAUCUGGAGCAGCUGCAUGUUUUCCAACUGAAACCAGAAAAAGUGCAAGAAACUGAAUAAACAUUUACAGAAAAAAAAAAAAACACAGGUUGGG